CUGGAAUUUACAAUUUUUCAUUUUACAUUUAGGUCUAUGAUUGAUUUUGAGUUAAUUUUUAUGAAAGAUAGAAGAUCUGUAUCUAGAUUCUUUUUUUUUUCCUAUACGUGGAUGCCCAGUUGUUUCAGCACCACUUUAUUUAUUAUUAUUAUUAUUAUUAUUAUUAUUAUUAUUUUAAGACAAGGUCUUUCUCUGUCACCCAGGCUGGAUUGCAAUGGCACAAUCACAGCCCACAGCAGCUUUGAACUCCUGGACUCAAGUGGUCUUCUCAUCUCAGCCUCCCAAGCAACUAGGACUACAGAUGCAGAAGCUGAGUGA
rnacentral:lncRNA from 1 species